GUCUCAGGCUAACAAUAGACAUCCUGGUAGUUUGGGUGGAAAUAGCUAACCCCAUCAGAGGCUAAGUAUUGACAUGGGCACUGUACCCCCAGAAACCCAGGCAAACUAUGAUCAGGGAAACUCCAUUGCCCUUGCAUCCUUGUGACUCUUAACCUAGAAACACCCAAUGACCCCACCCAGGGUCCUGAGAUGUUUACCCUCUUUUGUCCUCUAGAUUUAAGGUGGACAAAGAAAUGAAUCUUUAUGCCUCCAGGCAGACCCCAGUCAGAUGACCAUCCCACCAAAUGCCUGAGGGACUAAUACUCUGGUUUUGUCCACACUAGGACAUAGCAUCUAAAGAGUAUAUAAACCCCAGAACUGAUGUCGUCUGGGGGACAGCCUCUCCAUCCAUGCUGUCCCCAUAGAGGAACAGCCUUUCCUUUCAUGCUGUCCUCCCAAGGAACUGCUCCCCAUCUUGCUGUUCUACCUUGCUAUCCUCCUGGCCACUCUCAACAUUACUUUCUAAAUUAAUAAAUCUCUUUUUGUUUUUAAGCCAAGUUUUGGAGUCAUUGCAUGCUUGCAAAAGGUAUCGUUCCCAAACCCCAAGGGUAUCCUUCCAUGCCCAUAAUAUUUUGACGCCCAACGUGGUUUUUGGCUCUCCUGAAAGCUACUCCUGUACCCCGGAUCAUCCACGAGGACACAGCUUCUCAGGAGACAUUACUGUGUUGGUAACUCAGACUGAAGACUCUUGCUGAAAAGACUCUUGCAGACUUCUGGCUGGAGAUUGGAACCCUAGGGGGUGGAGUGAGCUGGAUUUCAUAGCAAUGGCAUUCAGGCCAUCUGCUUCAGACGUUCUUGAUUCAAUAUCGCUCACCUGGUCCCAGCCCUUCCCGCCUGGCCUGGCUUGGCCUAGCUCCUAUUGCCUGCUUCUGUGCUCCUGAAAUCCAGACCUGUUUGACCCAGAUCUGCUCUCCUGGUCCCAACCUGCCCACAACUCUGGCCUCAGAGCAGAUCGCUCAUCACCCAGGCCCAGGACUCACUUCCACCAGCUGGUAAAACAAGGGUGAUUUUUCUUAUCCUCCAUGUGUACUGGGGGCAGGGGAUCACAAGUGGGGAAAAAGAGAAGGAAGAGACUUUU
rnacentral:lncRNA from 1 species